rnacentral:rRNA from 1 species
AGUGAACGCUGGCGGUAGGCCUAACACAUGCAAGUCGAACGGCAGCACAGUAAGAGCUUGCUCUUACGGGUGGCGAGUGGCGGACGGGUGAGGAAUACAUCGGAAUCUACUUUUUCGUGGGGGAUAACGUAGGGAAACUUACGCUAAUACCGCAUACGACCUACGGGUGAAAGCAGGGGAUCUUCGGACCUUGCGCGAUUGAAUGAGCCGAUGUCGGAUUAGCUAGUUGGCGGGGUAAAGUCCCACCAAGGCGACGAUCCGUAGCUGGUCUGAGAGGAUGAGCGGCCACACUGUAACGGAGACACGGUACGGACACCUACGGGUGGGAGCAGGAGGGAAUCGUCCGCAAGGGGCGAAAGCGUGACGGAGCAACGGCGCGUGAGUGAGGAAGGUGUUCUGAUCGUAAAACUCUGUUAUUAGGGAAGAACAAAUGUGUAAUUACCUCUGCACGUCUUGACGGUACCAAAUCAGAAAGCCACGGCUAACUACGUG